CGUAUGCCUGCUGGGGACAAAUGAAAUGAAUAUGCGAAUCGAUGCCACCGGCUGUAAUUAUUGAACCUUCUCCGGCGAUGACCUCAGUGCCAUUGCCGACAAUCAUAUUUGGGGUCACGCCAUUCAUGGUGUCCGGAUUGCCUGCUUUACCUAUGCCUGAGAUGAAGCCAUUCUUGAUGCCAAUGUCAGCUUUGUAGAUACCGCUCCAAUCGACGAUCAAUGCAUUGGUAAUGACAGUAUCAAGAACGUCUUCAUCUUUCCGAUUAGACGCCUGUCCCAUGCCUUCGCGGAUG
rnacentral:sRNA from 1 species